UGUGCUGUUGCUGUUGUUGCUGCGGUUGCGGCUGCGGUUGGGGUUGAGGCUGCGGCAGACUCGCUGGAGGCGUUGGAUGGUCCAAUAGGUUCGACGGCGAGUUGGCAUGGUGCAAUGGAUGAGGAUGCUGGGACUCCUGCUGAGGCACCGAGAUCAAUUACCGAAGGAAAUCCCUUAAAUUGCUCGUCCGUUGCACGUGAUCGAGGAGUACUUAAUCUAUGGAGAUUUAUAGACCAGAGAGAGAGAUUAAUCGUCGAAGCUUUCACGAAUGAAAAAUCUGUCCACGAUAAAGAAUAAAGGAAGUGGGAGAAGGAACAAAUCGGUAUUCUCUGGUUAGGCAGCAACCGUGUAACCUUGGACGAAGCUACGAUAACAAGGAUGUCUGUUAUGCUGACGAGGCAUCCUCCAUCGUAAUCAGACUUGCAUAUACCGAAAAGAAGAACGAAUGUCAUCUCACGGAGUCGCGGUGAGCCAGGUCAGAGGACAAGAAGCGACG